CCCUUAGAUGUUCUGGGCCGCACGCGCGCUACACUGAUACGUUCAACGAGUCCAAAACCUUGAUUGAUAGGUCUGGGUAAUCUUUUGAAUACGUAUCGUGCUAGGGAUAGAUUAUUGCAAUUAUUAAUCUUGAACGAGGAAUUCCUAGUAAACGCAAGUCAUCAGCUUGCAUUGAUUACGUCCCUGCCCUUUGUACACACCGCCCGUCGCACCUACCGAUUGAAUGGCUCGGUGAAGCCUCCGGAUUGCGCGGCUUCGGCUGUCGCGAGAAGUUGGCUAAACCUUACCAUUUAGAGGAAGGUGAAGUCGUAACA
rnacentral:rRNA from 1 species